GCGUCUGUAGCUCAGUUGAGUUGACAGAGCAGUGGGACGGUUCCCCACUGUCCCAGGUUCAAGUCCCGGCGGUCGCU